rnacentral:tRNA from 1 species
GCCUUCGUGGUGUAAUGGUCAGCACUCUGAACCGGUAUUUCAGAGGUCCGCGGUUCGAUCCCCGGCGAAGGCA